AUACGGAGGGUGCGAGCGUUACUCGGAAUCACUGGGCGUAAAGCGCGCGCAGGCGGCUAUUUAAGCUGGAUGUGAAAGCCUACGGCUCAACCGUAGAACUGCAUCCAAAACUAUUUAGCUAGGGUGUGGGAGAGGAAGAUGGAAUUAGUUGUGUAGGGGUAAAAUCCGUAGAGAUAACUAGGAAUACCAAAAGCGAAGGCAAUCUUCUGGAACACUACUGACGCUGAGGCGCGAAAGCGUGGGGAGCAAACGGGAUUAGAUACCCUAGUAGUCC
rnacentral:rRNA from 1 species